GUCUAUGGCCAUACCACCCUGAACAUACUCAAUCUCAUCUGAUCUCAGAAGCUUAGCAGGGUCAGGCUUGGUUAGUACUGAGAUGGGAGAAAGUACAGUAAUUUACUCUUACAAGAAGUAGUCAAUAGAUA
ensembl:rRNA 5S_rRNA 5S ribosomal RNA